CACGGAACUCCGGUGGUCAAACAGCAGGAAUAGUUGGUGGAGUUGCAGCCAUUGUUAUUGUUGGAUUGAUUCUUACUGGAGUGCUGAUUUACGUUCGCACAAGACGAAAUAAACGGUUCCAAUCUUCAGAAUAUGAAACAACUCAGAUGGGUUCAAAUCAAGCUUCGGAUCUUCAUUUAUAUGCUGGACUCAACGAACGCGGAAAUGUUAUUACAACACGUCAUUAGAUGGUACCACAAGAAGUUCUUACAAGAAAAACUGUGUACAUCAGUAGAUGGCAUCACAAACAGCUCUGACUACCAAAACUGUGUACAAAUAAACAUUUAAUAACGGUCAACACUAUAUCUUUGGUAUGCCUUCGUUAUACCUAUUCAGUAGUAAAUAUUAAUUAUCUUCUGCAUUUAUGACACGAUUUAUUUCAUAGACUUAAAUUAAAUAUUUUAAAAUAUUCAGUAA